AUUCUUGGUCAUUUUAGAGGAAGUAAAAGUCGUAACAAGGUUUCCGUAGGUGAACCUGCGGAAGGAUCAUUACUGAUAGAACUAUUUAUUAGUUUCUUCAUACCCCUUUGUUAACUUACCGUGUUGCUUCCACUGGACCGUGUACAAGUCUCCUGAAUCCGUAAUGAUUUAUCAUGAAAGGCUGGGGAGUUGCCCGUGGUAAGACCCUAUAACAAAAAACUUGAUAAAAACCUAAAUGUCUGAUAUUUUCAUUAAAAAUGAAAUAAAACUUUCAACAACGGAUCUCUAGGCUCUUGCAUCGAUGAAGAACGCAGUGAAAUGCGAUAAGUAAUGUGAAUUGCAGAAUCUCGUGAAUCAUCGAAUCUUUGAACGCACAUUGCGCCCUAUGGUAUUCCGUAGGGCAUGCCUGUCUGAGCGUCAGCUCCCCCCCUCUCAAGUUUCUUUUUUUAGAAUCUUGGAUUACUUUGAAGAAGUAGCUCUCCAGCCGCUCUUCAGAAAUUUAUAGGCAGUAUUGGUUGCACCUAAACCAGACGUAAUAAUAAUAAAAUCGUCUUUUUAGGAGUGCCGUACUUGCCCUAACCCACCCUUUUUAUCCUGGGGGACCUCAGAUCAGGUAGGGGAUACCCGCUGAACUUAAG
rnacentral:misc_RNA from 1 species